UUUUAAGUAGGCUAGGCUGGUACUAAAUACUUCAAGAAGUAAAGCUGUGAUAAUGGUCUGGUCACUACUUCUGCUGAAUGUGUAAAUGUCAGCCACCUCGGUCAGUAAAAUAAGUUACUUAAAGUGUGCACUGAAGUGUGUCACUUUAUAGAAUUCAAAAAGUAAUAUGUAGAUUAGAUACUCCUAUUAGAUUAAGAGAACUUCUUAAUUCUUGGAAACAUUUCCUGCACUCCUGCUCAACACAAGGUCACAAAUCUAAGUUAGAAGAAAAACAAGGGGAUUCUCAGGAUUUGUAUGUUAGUGAAAUGCUAUAUAACACAAAAGUGUAAUGUUCAAAUCUUGCUUGUUCUUGCUUUGAAGCAUAUAGUAUAAUAAAUCUAACAACUUUCUUGUUACUCAUAAUAACGAAGGCUAGAGAAGUAGGUAUUUAAGAAAUAUCUUGCAUCAGACAAAAUCCUAUGCUAUUUCUCAUUAUCCUACUGAAAUUAGUGUAAUAAAAGUUUCUUCUUCUUACAACAAAUUAAACUUAUUGUUAAAUCCGAUUUAGGCACUCUUCUCCAGUGUUCAAAGGCCUUUUGCAUCUUGUGUCAUAUCUUGGAUAUAACUGUUAGCGAUUUAACAUUACUACAUGAGAUAUUUCACUUCAGUCUUAAUACAAGCGUAGUAGGCUGACUUCUGAAAUUCUAGUGAGGACUGCACAGUCUGUGCCCUAUGGACAGAAGCAGCUUGCUAUUAGACCAAGCACUGCUCUUGUGGUGGGGCUGCUCCAUGAGAUGAAGGCAACUGACUUUGGCAGAUUGCAUAGGUGCCAUGGGGCAAGAACACAGUGCCACCUCCUGUAUGCCACUCCCCACGGUGCAUUUCUGGUGUCUCGCAGUGACCAGAAGCUGUCAGGUAAUGGUGACAAGGCUCCUUUGGCUUUGUUAUUCCUCAUAAUCUAGUCUCAUGGAUUUUCAUGGCUCUGAGCAGCAAUCUCACUCCAAGAACCAGCACAAUGCCCUGUAAUUCUCAAUCCUGGACACAGUGGGAAAGAUUCAAGAGUGCUCAUUCUGCUCACGAACCAACAUUUGCUAUACUGCCGGGUGUCUGGCUGUGCUGGUUUGAGGAUCAACAGAGCUAAGUGAAGAGGCAGUUCCCUUUCUACUUUGAUGUUUUUGCACAGUGUCCAAAUGAGAAGAAAGAGGAAUGCAUCUUGGUUUUGUGCCAUGCAAGUGCCUGAAUAAAGCAAGGCUCCUGAUAGAAUAAAUGACAAUAUAUCUUUUAUAUAAAUGGACCAUGAGGAAAUACUGUCUGUCUGAGACAUACCAGUUCAGGCUAAAGAAAGCUUUAUACUUGCUAGGCUAGAUGUUUGGCAGCUGAUUAAAAGACUUAGGAAAAAGAGCAAUGUCAAAUAUCUUUUCCAGAAAAAGGUGUUGGCUUUGUCAUUUGUAGUGUAUUUUGUCACCGUCUGAAAAAGAAAAUUUGGUUAACUUUGCCCCUAACUUCCUAAUAUCUGAACCAUUUCCUUGUAAUUUCUUAUUUCGUAAUUCAAUUUCUCCUUUUUAUUUUAAUCUUGCAAACCUGCUCAGAGAAUUAACUCUCUUGCCUUGUCUUUCUGCUGCGCAGCCAAGUAGAAACAACUCUGUGUUUAGGAAAUGUAAUCAUCUUGGCAGCAAAGAGAAGAUAAUGCCAAAUUUCUUUGCUAUCGCACUGCUAACAGUUACAGAAUAACUAUGCUACUACACUUCAGAUAAUAUUUUCAUACAACAGAUUGAUUUUUUUUUUCCAUUUAACAGUUUUUCUAAACAAAACAAAAUAUUUACCUGAUAGAAAUCUACUGUGAUAAAGCGAGGCCUUGAUGCAACUAUAGAGACGUCUGCUGUGGUUUGGAGAGGAGCACUGCUUCUUCCAGAUUUGCAUAUGAUCAGAAACCAAACUGCUGAGUGCUUGUUCUGUGAUCUGAGUAAGAGCAGGUACAUGGCAUUUCUUGAAACUG
ensembl:lncRNA